CCCACUAUACAUCCACAAACCCGUGUGCACUGUCUUGGAGAAAGGCUUCAAGAAGUUUUUUGUGGCCUCUCUUGGGGUCUUUCUUCGCUACAAACUCGAAUGGUUAGUAUGAACGUGGAACUUGGUUGGACCGUCACUGGCCAACAAACUAUACACAACUUUCGACAACGGAUCUCUUGGUUCUCCCAUCGAUGAAGAACGCAGCGAAACGCGAUUGGUAAUGUGAAUUGCAGAAUUCCGUGAAUCAUCGAAUCUUUGAACGCACCUUGCGCUCUAUGGCAAUCCGUAGAGCAUGCCUGUUUGAGUGCCAUGAAAUCUCCCACCCCAAGCGGUUUUUAAAUGAAACGGCUUGGCGGAUGGGGUCUGGAUGGGUGCCUCUGCCUGCGCUACCUAGCACAGGCUCGCCCGAAAUGCAUGAGCGCCUUGAGACACUUUGCAUCCGCCUCUCUGUUUGGGAGGAGGCGGCCAAGCAGUGUUUUUCUCCUGGCAUGGCAUGAUACGUCAUUUGCUAUGUCGCCUAAAGGAGGAAUGUUUGGUUGUGUCUACGUGUGCUUCGAACUUGCCUCUGUGGCACAUCCCAAUUUCACUUCUGGUCUCAAAUCAGGUAGGAUCACCCGCUGAACUUAAGCAUAUCAAUAA
rnacentral:rRNA from 1 species